CAGGAGUCGGUUGUAGGUGGAAUAGCCAUCGUACACGGAGAUGGAAUCAUACCUACAGUUGAAGUCACCCUCAAGACUGUGGUCGGAGACCGGAAAGAUGAAUGAAGUACAAUGGCGGUGGCUGCCUACUAUACGCUGAAUUGACAGAAGACCCCAUGGUGGUGGCCAUGGCUGUGUGCUGACCGACCAGUAGGAGUGGACAGUGGUGGAAAUGGUGAGGGUCAGGAAUGACAUACGGCUGUCCGAAAUUAAGCAGGCCAUUGAGGAGAAUGAUGACACCUUUGCCAAUGUGGCAUCCAUCAGCCUACCAACAAUCACUCGCCUUUUUGAAGAGGCACCAGGUAUCUAUGCAACACAUUUACCUGGUGCCUUUUGAGACAAACAAUGACCGGGUGAAACAACUGCGGGCUGACUAUGUUCAGAGGGUGAUGGUGCUUGAUGCUGCAGUGAACCAUCACAAGUAUGUCUUUGUUGAUGAAGCAGGCUUCAACCUGGCCAAAACUUGGAGCCGUGGGCAGAACCUCAUCUGCCAACAGGUCCAAGUGCCUGGUCAACGUGGGGGAAACAUCUCCAUGUGCACAGCUAUCUCUGAAGAUGGUGUGGUAGGACCUAUGCCAUUACUUGGAUCCUAAAAUGCUGCACACAUUGUGUUUCUCGAUUAAAUUGAGCAGGCCUGUCAAGGUGAAGGGGUCACCAAUAUCAUUGUGUGGGAAAGUUUCAGGUUCCACCAUGCAGAGGUGGGAUCAGGCAUGGUUUUGGGCCCAUCCCUGAUUUGUGACCAUUUACCUGCACCCAUAGUCUCCUUUCCUCGACCCUAUUGAGUGUCACCCUCCCUCUGGCCAUGGAUAAUGUAUGCGAUGACAUCAACGCAGACCAGUGUCAAGCUUGGAUUCACCAUGCCAAAUGGUAUUUCCCGCGUGCAUGAACAAUGAGGACAUUCAUUGUGAUGUGAAUGAGAAUUUAUGGCCAAAUGCUCGAGACAGGCUUGAUGCAAAUGAAUGCGUGCUUAUACGUUAUGUUUAAUUUUCAUUAAUGUCAUUUGUUUCAAUUAAUGUAUUAUAUUUGAUUACAGACAGUACACAUUGUUGCAAUUAUAUCUGAAAAAUACAGUUUCUAUUUGUAUGAAUGAUUGUAGAUGAUGUCUUCAUUGAUCACACCUUUGAUUAUAAAUUGGAUAGAUAUUAUGGAAAUUAUAGAUUUUCUGUCAAUUUUGUUGGCUAAUGUAAGUGUAUUGCCUAAUGUGAAAACUGUGUAAUCAACUGUCAUUUACAAUACUGUAUCAUAUUGCUUCAGCACUUUUAAGGGCGAUUUAAAACACGUAUCUUGCAUGGUUUGCUAUUGGAUUAACUGGUAGUUAAAACAACUAAAUUUAAAAUAUAUAAUUAUGUUGUGUUUUGGUGAUUAAACCAAUGUUCUCAUUA